rnacentral:rRNA from 1 species
CGGUGGUUAUAGCGAUUGGGAAACGCCCGGUUACAUUCCGAACCCGGAAGCUAAGCCUUUCCGCGCCGAUGGUACUGCAGGGGGGACCCUGUGGGAGAGUAGGUCGCUGCCGAACA